ACACCAUUAGAUCUCACUGCCUCAUUCCUGACGGCCGCUGGCAUUCAUUCACUCAGAUCUCCUCAGAUGCUAAUCUCUUUUAUUAUCAGGUAAAUUUCUAAAUUCUACUUAUUUUCCUAAAUCAAACAUACGUCUUUGUUUUUCUGUUCCUUUUCUGAGGUUAAUUAAAUUAAUUUCAUAUCCACAUUAGAUAGUCUUGUAUAAUUAUUCGAUCUCCAUCUUUAGAGAUGGCUGAAUUACUGCAAGAAUUUUUGUACAUAUAAAAAAAAUGAUAUUCUAUUGCAUUAAUACCUACUCCUUUAUGUUAAUCACUCCACAUUUUUAAAAAAUUCUAUUGGAUUCUAUUGCAUUCGAUUUAUAAUUAAAAUUAAUUUAUACCAAGAAAUUCUUUGUCGUGUUGAUUUUGUUUCUUGUUUCUAAUUAAAAUUAAUUAUUAUCAAGAUGGUUUAGAGGAUAUAGAAUAUGACUUCAACCCUACAAGAACGAGACUUUUUAUGUGGUUUUGAAAUCUGCAAGUCUCCACAAAUUAUCUUUUGUAUGUAUUCUUGUUGUGUGGUGUAUUUAAUGAGUUUUUUUUAAGACUAAUUUUGUUGAAUUAUUUUUAAUAUAGUUAUUAAACUUGCAUAAAAAAUAAUUAUUUUUAUUCUUCGAUUCUUUUCUUUUAAUAAUAGAGUAUUUGUGGUGAUGCAAAAUUUUGAUUAACUUAUCAAACUAUUGUAGAGAGAGAGGCUUCUCAGACAUGAAAGUUUCUUAAGUUAUCUGCUUAUUUGCGUGUGUAUAGAGCAAAAUAAGAUAAGGAUGUUGAGGGAAAAUAUGCAUUUUUUUAAACGUGGAUUGACUUCACUUCUCAUUUUAACCAAUUCUUAUGGAUUUGUUCUGUUGCAGUUGAAGUCAUAACUUUUCUUGAUUAAUUAAAUAUUCAAAAUUAGAUUACUCAGUCCUUUGUGUCUUCGGUGGUGUUUGUUUACUUUAUGUUCACACUUGGCUAUAAGUAUUUUAGGUUGAAUAACUACAUUUAGUGUUGGUACUUGGUAGAUAGAGUGAAAUGUACAUGACUGUUGACGCCUUUAUAAACCAAUUGUUAUUUGUAUUUUCCUAGACACGUAGUACUAGAUGAAAUUUUUGUAAAUUUAAAUCUGGAGUACAAUUGGUUUAAUAUGUAAAUAAAAAAAAUUGAGACAACAAAAAUGGUAUUUGGAGAUUAAAUAUAAUAAAUGAUUUUUUUUUUUGGAUAAGUAAUGAAUAGAUCUUAAAUACGUGAAGAUCUUGCUCCAAUAAAUGUAGCUAUACUGCAUAUGUUUUUAAAUGUACGUGUGAAGAAAAUAAAUGAUUUGAUCUCUUACUUGUGUGUACUCUAUUUUUAUUUGACAUGCAGUUGACAUGGUAAAAUAUUUACACGAUAUCCAACAAGUUGAAAAUGAGUCGUUGUUCAUGACAUUUCAAAUUAGCCCAUUGAUUUCAGGUAAUAAGGUUUUCCUGUAACUAUUGGAAUACAUUAUGUGCUAUUAUUUAACUCGAACACAAUUGUCGUAAAUGACAAAAAUAAACUUAACUUGUAAGUUUGGUUUCUUUUCUUCCCUAUAAAUUAUCAUAAUUCAAUGGAGUUCUGCGAGAAAGUAAAUAUAUUUCUUGUUUCAAAAAGUUUUCACUACUACAAAACAGUAAAUAGAUAACGCGGAAAAAACGUUGUGGUUUCAGUCAGAAAAACGUCGUGGUUAAGGGUGUCAUGACACCCUUACACAACAUUUUUACAAUGUUGUAGUUAAGCACAUUACACAACGUUUUUUAAAAAAAAAAUGUUGUAGAUUUGUUUUCCAUAAAUUAGUAGAUGCUUAAAAAUGUUGUAGAAGGUAUGAUUCAACAACGUUUUCUGGAUAAAAACGUUGUAAUUUAAUAUAUCAGACAACGUUUUUAACCAAUUUAUACAACGUUUAGAAGGUGUCAUUUAUUUAUACAAAUAUACAAUAUUUUUAAAAUAUUGUAGAUAAAGAAAAAAAAAAGUGGUAGUUCACUUAUAUUAUCAAUGCACCUACAAUAUGCUAAUGCCAUGAUAUAUAGCUAAAAUGUCUAAAUUCUCAUUUAAAUUUAAAGUCAAAAUGUAUCAACCAUUCAAAAUACAUUCCAAUAAUAACAUUCGUUUACAGUUUCAAAUUACUACAUCCACAAAAUAUAUACCAAACUAUCCAUAUAUGCAUCUCAAAUUCACUUUUCAAUAUAAACUACUACUAUAUUGAAUUGUGAAUUUAAUUACAUGCAUCCAUAAAAUAAACCAAACUAUCUAUAAAAUUGAGCUACUACCUAAGCAUGUGCAAAAAAGCCUAGUUCUCCCAAAAUACGUACAUUCAUCUAACAUAUUCACUGUUAACUCGAGGCUCUACAUGUAGCUGCUCACAUACGUUGCCCACUCAUCCCGUCAAUUUGUUCUUGUGUGUACGUUAAUCCACAUGCCUUAUCCUACUGAAAUAAAAGAACAACAAAUUUAGUAUUCAACAAAGAUACCAAAUCACAAGGAUACCAAAUCUGACCUGGUACUGAUGUUGCGCAACAUGAAAUAACUAACCAAAACUUGGACGUGUUUUUCUCAAGUAGCCCUCAAAGCCAACUGCUGACAUCAAAUAACCAAAGUUAGUUCAAGUGUGAUGGUUACUAUAGAAGCUAGCUACAACAAAAGUGCUCGUUAAUACUUUCAUUACCUGACUGGACAGUAAUGGGGAAGUUUAUCCAGAAUCUCCAGCUCUUCAAGUGUUAUCUGAUCUAUCUUGUUGACAGCAUAGAUGCAAGGCAUAUACACACGGC
rnacentral:lncRNA from 1 species